CUGACACAGUGUUCCAAGAAAAUGAACUUCAGGUGUGUUGGGAAACAGAACUGAAAUCCAGAAUCCAGUCUUGGAUAUGACUUACAGGAUAAAGCUUAAUAGCUGUAAAAUUCAACAAGGAAGACUAAAAUUGUGCUUUAAGAAGAACAGGUGUACAUAGGGAAAAGGAUGACAGCUUAUUUCCUGGUUUUUGGCAAAGAUACAAGUUUACUGACAGUGUUGUUUUCUGUUGCUAUUACAUACUAACAUUGUUUCUGAUAGCUGGAGUAUUUUGUGACUUAUUAAAAGUAACCUCAAGUAGUACUUGUCAAAACAAGC